rnacentral:rRNA from 1 species
CCUAACACAUGCAAGUCGAGCGGCAGCACAAGUAAGUUUACUUAUGAGGUGGCGAGCGGCGGACGGGUGAGUAAUGCCUAGGGAUCUGCCCAGUCGAGGGGGAUAACAGUUGGAAACGACUGCUAAUACCGCAUACGCCCUACGGGGGAAAGAGGGGGACCUUCGGGCCUCUCGCGAUUGGAUGAACCUAGGUGGGAUUAGCUAGUUGGUGAGGUAAUGGCUCACCAAGGCGACGAUCCCUAGCUGUUCUGAGAGGAUGAUCAGCCACACUGGGACUGAGACACGGCCCAGACUCCUACGGGAGGCAGCAGUGGGGAAUAUUGCACAAUGGGGGAAACCCUGAUGCAGCCAUGCCGCGUGUGUGAAGAAGGCCUUCGGGUUGUAAAGCACUUUCAGUAGGGAGGAAAGGGUGAGUCUUAAUACGGCUCAUCUGUGACGUUACCUACAGAAGAAGGACCGGCUAACUCCGUGCCAGCAGCCGCGGUAAUACGGAGGGUCCGAGCGUUAAUCGGAAUUACUGGGCGUAAAGCGUGCGCAGGCGGUUUGUUAAGCGAGAUGUGAAAGCCCUGGGCUCAACCUAGGAAUAGCAUUUCGAACUGGCGAACUAGAGUCUUGUAGAGGGGGGUAGAAUUCCAGGUGUAGCGGUGAAAUGCGUAGAGAUCUGGAGGAAUACCGGUGGCGAAGGCGGCCCCCUGGACAAAGA